rnacentral:rRNA from 1 species
AUGAGACAGCUUGCUCUCUUGAUGGCGAGUGGCGGACGGGUGAGGAAUACAUCGGAAUCUGCCCAGUCUUGGGGGAAAACGCAGGGAAACUUGCGCUAAUACCGCAUACGACCUUCGGGUGAAAGCAGGGGAUCUUCCGACCUUGCGCGAUUGGAUGAGCCGAUGUCGGAUUAUCUUGUUGGCGGGGUAACGGCCCACCACGGCCACGAUCCGUACCUGGUCUGGGAGGAUGAUCAGCCACAUUGAGACUGAGACACGACCCAUACUCCUACGGGAGGCAGCAAUGUGGAAUAUUGGACAAUGGGGGCAACCCUGAUCCAGCAAUGCCGCGUGUGUGAAGAAGGCCUUCUGGUUGUAUAGCACUUUUAUCGAGAACGAUACGUUGUCGGCCAAUACCCGGCGAAACUGACGGUACCCGAGGAAUAAGCACCGGCUAACUCCGUGCCAGCAGCCGCGGUAAUACUGAGGGUGCAAGCGUUAAUCGCAGUUACUGUGACGUAGAGCGUGCGCAUGCGGUGUUGCUAAGUCUGUUGUGAAAUCCCCGAGCUCAACUUGGGAAUUGCAAUGGAUACUGGCAGGCUAGAGUAUGGUAGAGGAAGGUGGAAUUCCCGGUGUAACAGUGAAAUGCGUACAGAUCGGCAGGAACACCAGUGGCGAACGCGGCCUUCUGGACCAAUACUGACGCUCAUGCACGAAAGCGUGGGGAGCAAACACGAUUAGAUACCCUGGUAGUCCACGCCCUAGACUAUGCGAACUGGAUGUUGCGUACAUUACGGUACUCAGUGUCCAAGCUAACGCGUUAAGUUCGCCGCCUGGGGAGUACGGUCGCAAGACUGAAGCUCAGAUGAAUUGACGGGGGCCCGCACAAGCGGUGGAGUAUGUGGUUUAAUUAGAUGCAACGAGAAGAACCUUCCCUGGCUUUGACAUCCGUGGAAUCAAGCAGAGAUGCGGGAGUGCCGCAAGGAAAGACAAGACAGGUGCUGCAUGGCUGUGGUCAUCUUGUGUCGUGAGAUGUUGGGUUAAGUCCCGCAACGAGCGCAACCCUUGUCCUUAGUUGCCAGCACGUAAUGGUGGCAAUUUUAGGGAGACUGCCGGUGCCAAACCGGAGGAAGGUGGGGAGGACGUCAAGUCUUCAUGGCCCUUACGGCCAGGGUUACCCACUUAUUCCAAUGGUCGGUACAGAGGGUUGCGAAGCCGGGAGGUGGAGCCAAUCCCAGAAAACCGAUUUCAGUCCGGAUUGGAGUUUGCAACUUGACUCCAUGAAGUUGGAAUCGCUAGUAAUCGCGAAUCAGGUAUGUCGCGGUGAAUACGUUCCCGGGCCUUGUACACACCGCCCGUCACACCAUGGGAGUUGGUUGCACCAGAAGCAGGUAGGCUAAC